CAUCUGUUACCAGCACGCAAAACCUGACUGGAUCAGGGCCAUUAGGAAAAAUAAACAAAAAUACAUUCUUUGUUUUCUUUACAAGACUUAUUGUAAUUCUCUCAAGAACAUGAUCUUUCCCCACAGGAGUAAGAUUUUAAGAGUCAUAUACAAAAAAAAAAAAAAAACUGAAGACAUUAGAUCAGUGCCAGAGAGAGUGUUCCUGGAAACUUCGAGAGUCAUUUGGAUCUAGCCUGAAACAACGCAGGGAACCAGCUUCCCUCUUCUCUGACCUUAAAUUUAUCUUUUCCCUGCUGUCUGAGGAUGCAUUUUUCCCCUGAGAAAUUCCAGAGCCCAGAUAACAAGCCUAUCCAGAUUCCUCUGUGGAGCCUUCCUACCAUCAAGCAGAUCAACACUCCCACCCACCUUGGUGUCAUCUGCAAACUUACUGAGGGUGUACUCGAUCCCUUGGUGCCAACUCGAUCUUCAUUAUACUGAAGAGAACUGGCCCCAGUACUGAGUGCUGGGGGACAUCUUUUGCAACCACAACCUCCAGCUGGAUUUAACUCUGUUCACCUCCUUGGGCCGGCCACACAGCCAGUUUUUUUAUCCAGUGAAGCCUAUGCCCAUCCAAGCCUUGAGCAUCCAGUUUCUCCAGAAGAAUGCUGUGGGAAACAGUGUCAAAAGCUUUACUAAACUCUAGGUAGACAACAUCCACAGCCUUUCCCUUAUCCACUAAGCAUGUUACCUUGUCAUAGAAGGAGAUCAGGUUAGUCCAGCAGGACCCGUCUUUCUUAAACCCUUGUUGACUGGACUUUCAAGACUGGACCUUGGCAUUCAAGAUGAUCUGCUCCACGAGCUUCCCCAGCACUGAAGGAUUGUGCACAGAUCUAAAAAGAACAUAGCAUUCACUUUUCACAGGUUGUGAAAUGGGAGAGCAUUGAUAGUUGCAUUUAAUAGGAUGGUUGAAGAAAAUCUCUGUACAGCUGUUCUAGGACUUUGUAACUCUCUGUAAUUUUAAACAUUAGAGUGCUCUGUACUCAAACCAGAGAUAAUUUCCUGAGUACUAGUUAGCUUAUAAAAUCUUAACCUGUUCCAAACCCAGUAAUUUGAAGGCAUACAAAUUCCUGGAAGUUAUUAUCCUUCUUCCCAUAAAAAGUACAAAACAACAACAGAAGUGAAGCUAAUGGUUUAAAUAAAUGAAUAAGGAAACCUCCCUUCCCCACAUAUCAAGCUGCGGUGAAAGUUCAUGGUUCUAUUUAACAUUUUUGCAGCACAUAAAGGAUGGCAAGGUCAUACUUUAUUAUAUUUAUUUUUUUUAAAUAAAUAAAUAUGGGCAGGCAGAUUUGACAAGGAAUGAAUAAGAGACCUAAGAGACCUAAAAUAUUCAAAAAGAGCACUUGGAGACUAGUCUGGAUGCUUUGGAGUGCAUAAAAUGGUAAUAGAUACAUGCUUAGGUAAUUAAAUCUCAAUCCUAGCUUUAGUGAUGGGCACAACAAAAGUUCCAAAUGAUUCCCUAGCUUCUUUAAGUGGAAAUCUAAGAUCAGUCAGGCUGCAAAUAUAGCAAUGCUUUUCUUCUCUGUGUUCAACUCAGUGUCUAUGAGAUCAAAGACUAAAUGAUUUGCUAUCUAAAUGGAUAGCCAAUGUGAA